rnacentral:rRNA from 1 species
CGGUGUUUAACUGGCGUGAUGUGGGACGUCCUACCGGUGGGCUUAGCCUCGCGAGGGGCGGCCCAACUAAUAUCCCGUCGCGGUGCUCUUUACUGAGUGUCGAGUCGGGCCGGUACGUUUACUUUGAACAAAUUAGAGUGCUUAAAGCAGGCUAUCCUCGCCUGAAUACUGCGUGCAUGGAAUAAUGGAAUAGGACCUCGGUUCUAUUUUGUUGGUUUUCGGAACCCCGAGGUAAUGAUUAAUAGGGACAGAUGGGGGCAUUCGUAUUGCGACGUUAGAGGUGAAAUUCUUGGAUCGUCGCAAGACGGACAGAAGCGAAAGCAUUUGCCAAAAAUGUUCUCAUUAAUCAAGAACGAAAGUUAGAGGUUCGAAGGCGAUCAGAUACCGCCCUAGUUCUAACCAUAAACGAUGCCAGCUAGCGAUCCGCCGAAGUUCCUCCGAUGACUCGGCGGGCAGCUUCCGGGAAACCAAAGCUUUUGGGUUCCGGGGGAAGUAUGGUUGCAAAGCUGAAACUUAAAGGAAUUGACGGAAGGGCACCACCAAGAGUGGAGCCUGCGGCUUAAUUUGACUCAACACGGGAAACCUCACCAGGCCCAGACACCGGAAGGAUUGACAGAUUGAUAGCUCUUUCUUGAUUCGGUGGGUGGUGGUGCAUGGCCGUUCUUAGUUGGUGGAGCGAUUUGUCUGGUUAAUUCCGAUAACGAACGAGACUCUAGCCUGCUAAAUAGGCGUACCUUAUGGUAUCGCGAAGGCCCCCGGCUUCGGCCGGUGGGUUUUUACUACCAACGUACAAACAAAUCUUCUUAGAGGGACAGGCGG